rnacentral:rRNA from 1 species
UACGUAGGUGACAAGCGUUGUCCGGAUUUACUGGGCGUAAAGAGCGCGCAGGCGGUCGAUCAAGUCGAGUGUGAAAGCCCCCGGCUCAACUGGGGAGGGUCAUUCGAUACUGAUCGACUCGAAGGCAGGAGAGGGUAGUGGAAUUCCCGGUGUAGUGGUGAAAUGCGUAGAUAUCGGGAGGAACACCAGUGGCGAAGGCGGCAUCCUGGACCAACACUGACGCUGAGUGAGCGAAAGCCAGGGGAGCAAACAGG